rnacentral:hammerhead_ribozyme from 1 species
AUUCAGCCGACGAGUUCCAAAUAGGACAAAGCGCGAGUCCUGGAU